UGCUGAACCGAGUGCUGUGGUUUUUAUAACUAGUUACAGAUUCCUUUGUUCCGUCUCCACUCCCACGGUUUCAUUGGACUAGCCUGAA
rnacentral:Y_RNA from 1 species